UGAGGCCGAGUUCGCGCGAAAUACGAAAAAACCGGGUGGGAGAAAAGACCAAGCCACACUCGUCUCAUUCACUGUCACUCACUCACUCUCAAAUUCAAUUGUGGUCUGUGUUCCUUCCAUAUUUCCAUUCCAACCCCAUCCAUAUUUUCAUAAUCCCAAAUUACCCUUCUCUCUCACUCUCUUUCGUUCUUAGGUUUUCGUCUUCUUCUCUUCACCCUCGUUCAAUCUCAUUUCUUCUGUUAAAUUUCCCAUUCGAUUUUCCUCUUCAUAUUCAAAUCUCCCUCUUUCAUUCUCACUGCCGUCCACAAUUUCACUGUCCUCGGGUUAACUGUUCGUGGCGGAUUACAUGCAGAGAAAAUAUUUAA